rnacentral:rRNA from 1 species
UACAGAGGUCUCAAGCGUUGUUCGGAUUCAUUGGGCGUAAAGGGUGCGUAGGCGGCGCGGUAAGUCGGGUGUGAAAUCUCGGGGCUUAACUCCGAAACUGCAUUCGAUACUGCCGUGCUUGAGGACUGGAGAGGAGACUGGAAUUUACGGUGUAGCGGUGAAAUGUGUAGAGAUCGGGAGGAACACCGGUGGCGAAGGCGGGUCUCUGGGCCGAUACUGACGCUGAGGAGCGAAAGCGUGGGGAGCGAACAGG